UACGUAGGGCGCAAGCGUUGUCCGGAAUUAUUGGGCGUAAAGAGCUCGUAGGCGGUUUGUCACGUCGGGUGUGAAAGCCCGGGACUUAACCCCGGGUCUGCAUUCGAUACGGGCAGACUGGAGUGUGGUAGGGGAGAUCGGAAUUCCUGGUGUAGCGGUGAAAUGCGCAGAUAUCAGGAGGAACACCGAUGGCGAAGGCAGGUCUCUGGGCCAUAACUGACGCUGAGAAGCGAAAGCAUGGGGAGCGAACAGG
rnacentral:rRNA from 1 species